GCCUCCGUAGUAUAAUUGGAUAGAACCCCGGCUUCCGGAGCCGGUAAUCCGGGUUCAAAUCCCGGCGGUGGCA
rnacentral:tRNA from 1 species